UCGGGAAUUUUGGGCAAUGGGCGAAAGCCUGACCCAGCAACGCCGCGUGAGGGAUGAAGUAUUUCGGUAUGUAAACCUCGAAAGAAUGGGAAGAAUAAAUGACGGUACCAUUUAUAAGCUCCGGCUAACUACGUGCCAGCAGCCGCGGUAAUACGUAGGGAGCAAGCGUUGUUCGGAUUUACUGGGCGUAAAGGGCGCGUAGGCGGCGCGGUAAGUCACUUGUGAAAUCUCUGAGCUUAACUCAGAACGGCCAAGUGAUACUGCUGUGCUGGAGUGCGGAGGAGGAAACCGGAAUUCUUGGUGUAGCGGUAAAAUGCGUAGAUAUCAAGAGGAACACCUGAGGCGAAGGCGGGUUGCUGGGCCGACACUGACGCUGAUGCGCGAAAGCCAGGG
rnacentral:rRNA from 1 species